rnacentral:tRNA from 1 species
AAGGGUAUAACUCAAUUGGUAGAGUGCAAGAUUAGCAUGCCUGAGGUCCUGGGUUCAAUCCCCAGUACCUCCA